CCCGCUGAACUUAAGCAUAUCAAUAAGCGGAGGAAAAGAAACCAACCGGGAUUGCCUUAGUAACGGCGAGUGAAGCGGCAAAAGCUCAAAUUUGAAAUCUGGUACCUUCGGUGCCCGAGUUGUAAUUUGGAGAGGGCAACUUUGGGGCCGUUCCUUGUCUAUGUUCCUUGGAACAGGACGUCAUAGAGGGUGAGAAUCCCGUGUGGCGAGGAGUGCGGUUCUUUGUAAAGUGCCUUCGAAGAGUCGAGUUGUUUGGGAAUGCAGCUCUAAGUGGGUGGUAAAUUCCAUCUAAAGCUAAAUAUUGGCGAGAGACCGAUAGCGAACAAGUACAGUGAUGGAAAGAUGAAAAGAACUUUGAAAAGAGAGUGAAAAAGUACGUGAAAUUGUUGAAAGGGAAGGGCAUUUGAUCAGACAUGGUGUUUUGUGCCCUCUGCUCCUUGUGGGUAGGGGAAUCUCGCAUUUCACUGGGCCAGCAUCAGUUUUGGUGGCAGGAUAAAUCCAUAGGAAUGUAGCUUGCCUCGGUAAGUAUUAUAGCCUGUGGGAAUACUGCCAGCUGGGACUGAGGACUGCGACGUAAGUCAAGGAUGCUGGCAUAAUGGUUAUAUGCCGCCCGUCUUGAAACACGGACCAAGGAGUCUAACGUCUAUGCGAGUGUUUGGGUGUAAAACCCAUACGCGUAAUGAAAGUGAACGUAGGUUGGGGCCUCGCAAGAGGUGCACAAUCGACCGAUCCUGAUGUCUUCGGAUGGAUUUGAGUAAGAGCAUAGCUGUUGGGACCCGAAAGAUGGUGAACUAUGCCUGAAUAGGGUGAAGCCAGAGGAAACUCUGGUGGAGGCUCGUAGCGGUUCUGACGUGCAAAUCGAUCGUCGAAUUUGGGUAUAGGGGCGAAAGACUAAUCGAACCAUCUAGUAGCUGGUUCCUGCCG
rnacentral:rRNA from 1 species